rnacentral:rRNA from 1 species
AAAAGGAUGUGGGAUUUCGAAGACAACCAGGAUGUUGGCUCAGAAGCAGCCAUCCAUUCAAAGAGUGCGUAAUAGCUCACUGGUCGAGAGGUCCUGCGCCGAAAAUGUCCGGGGCUGAAACGCGCCACCGAAACUAAGGAACCGAGAGGUUGGUAGAGGAGCAUUGCAUGCGGGAAGAAGCAGUACCGUAAGGAGCUGUGGACUGCAUGGAAGAGAGAAUGCCGGAAUGAGUAGCGAGAAUAAGGUGGGAAUCCUUAUGGCCGAAUAUCCAAGGUUUCCAGAGUAAAGCUGAUCUGCUCUGGGUAAGUCGGGGCCUAAGGCGAGGACGAGAGUCGUAGCCGAUGGACAACAGGUGGAGAUUCCUGUACUGCGGUAUGACAGAACUGUGGGGACACGUAAGGAAAGCGGAAGCCGGGAAUGGAAAGCCCGGUGCAAGCGGGGUACCAGUCACUUUGGCAAAUCCGGGUGGCAAUGGGAAGCCGUGAUGCGGAGCGAAAUAAAGUAGCGAAGUCCUGAGCCAUGCGUCAAGAAAAGCCGCUAUCGUUUAUACCGUACCCGUACCGUAAACCGACACAGGUGGAUGAGGAGAGAAUCCUAAGGCCGGCGGAAGAAGCAUUGUCAAGGAACUCGGCAAAAUGGCCCCGUAACUUAGGGAUAAGGGGUGCCUGGGAAACCAGGCCGCAGAGAAUAGGCUCAAGCAACUGUUUAGCAAAAACACAGGUCUAUGCGAAACCGAAAGGUGAGGUAUAUGGGCUGACGCCUGCCCGGUGCUGGAAGGUUAAGAGGAGAGGUUAGCGCAAGCGAAGCUUUGAAUUUAAGCCCCAGUAAACGGCGGCCGUAACAAUAACGGUCCUAAGGUAGCGAAAUUCCUUGUCGGGUAAGUUCCGACCCGCACGAAAGGCGUAAUGAUUUGAGCGCUGUCUCGACAAUGCAUCCGGUGAAAUUGAAGUACCAGUGAAGAUGCUGGUUACCUGCGCCAGGACGGAAAGACCCCAGGAGCUUUACUCCAGUCUGGUACUGGGACUCGGUAUUGCAUGUACAGGAUAGGUGGGAGGCUAGGAGAUGGUAACGCCAGUUGCCAUGGAGCCGCUGUUGGGAUACCACCCUUGCAGUAUUGGGUUUCUAACCAGCCGCCGUGACCCGGCGGUGGGACAAUGCCAGACGGGGAGUUUGACUGGGGCGGUCGCCUCCGAAAGGGUAUCGGAGGCGCCCAAAGGUUCCCUCAGAAUGGACGGAAACCAUUCGAAGAGUGCAAAGGCAGAAGGGAGCUUGACUGCGACACCGACGGGUGGAGCAGGUACGAAAGUAGGGCUUAGUGAUCCGGUGGUAUUAAGUGGGAAUGCCAUCGCUCAACGGAUAAAAGCUACCCUGGGAUAACAGGCUUAUCACUCCCAAGAGUUCACUUCGACGGAGUGGUUUGGCACCUCGAUGUCGGCUCAUCGCAUCCUGGGGCUGUAGUAGGUCCCAAGGGUUGGGCUGUUCGCCCAUUAAAGCGGUACGCGAGCUGGGUUCAGAACGUCGUGAGACAGUUCGGUCCCUAUCCGGCGUGGGCGUUGGAUAUCUGAGAGGAGCUGUCCUUAGUACGAGAGGACCGGGAUGGACGGGCCGCUGGUGCAUCGGUUAGACUGCCAAGUCUACGGCCGAGUAGCCAAGCCCGGAAGGGAUAAACGCUGAAGGCAUCUAAGCGUGAAGCCCCCCUUAAGAUGAGAUAUCCCAUUCGUUAAGAAGUAAACCCCCUUGAAGACGACGAGGUAGAUAGGGCAGAGGUGGAAGUGCAGCAAUGCAUGGAGCUGACUGUUACUAAUCGGGUGAGGGCUUGACCG